rnacentral:rRNA from 1 species
AUGCACGCUGGCUACAGGCUUAACCCAUGCAAGUCGAGGGGAAACGGCAUUGAGUGCUUGCACUGAAUGGACGUCGACCGGCGCACGGGUGAGUAACGCGUAUCCAACCUUCCCGUUACUGCGGGAUAACCUGCCGAAAGGCAGACUAAUACCGCAUGUUCUUCGAUGACGGCAUCAGAUUCGAAGCAAAGAUCCGUCGGUAACGGAGGGGGAUGCGUCUGAUUAGCUAGUUGGCGGGGCGACGGCCCACCAAGGCGACGAUCAGUAGGGGUUCUGAGAGGAAGGUCCCCCACAUUGGAACUGAGACACGGUCCAAACUCCUACGGGAGGCAGCAGUGAGGAAGAUUGGUCAAUGGGCGGAAGCCUGAACCAGCCAAGUAGCGUGCAGGAGGACGGCCCUACGGGUUGUAAACUGCUUUUAUGCGGGGAUAAAGUGAGGGACGCGUCCCUUUUUGCAGGUACCGCAUGAAUAAGGACCGGCUAAUUCCGUG